rnacentral:lncRNA from 1 species
AUGGAUGAUGGAUUAGCUAAUGUGCUUCCCACAAGUCUGGGUCAUUGUUUAACCCCAAGUUGGCUGACCUCCCAAGGCAGGUGGUGGCAGUCUUUGACUCCACAACACCCUAAGGGCAGAAGAGAAGCACUUUCAGAGAGCAUAUUCAGCAAAGUUAAUGAUGAUCUAUACUUUCAAAACAAGAACCCAGAAGAUUUUGGUAAAGGAGCUUCAGCAGACCACCUUUUGAGACUUCUGGUUCCAACAGACCACCUCUGGAGACUGCUGGUUCUAAAUGAUGGGUGUAACCUUAAGAGUAGAUAAGAAAAGUAGGUAGAGAUUGAGGAAAGAAGGAGAAUCAUAGCAUCUGCUGGAUGGACAAGGAGCAUCUGAUAGUAGCAUCUGAUGGACGAGGGAGUUGCUGUUCAGUCACUAAUUCAUGUCUGACUCUUUGUGACCCCAAGGACCGUAGCUCGUCGGACUUCCCUGACCUUCAAGGCAGAGGAGUUAACAAAUGCAAAGUGGAAGAACAGGAAAUGUUGUAUCAUAAAAGCCAAAGAAACAGAGAACUUUCAGGCAUAAGAGCAGCCAGUAGGGUCAAAUGCUUCUAUGAGACAAAGACAGGGCCCAAAAAAUGUACCUCAGAUUCAGCAAUAUAGAGGUCUUUAGUGGAGUAAAAGGCAGGCUGCAACAAACUGAAGGUAAAGGAAGACCAUGUGGUAAAAAGACACGGGUUCAAUCCCUGGGUCGGAAAGAUCUCCUGGAGGAGGAAAUGGCAACCCACUCCAGUAUUCUUGCCUGGGAAAUCUCAUGUACCUUGAGGACCAAGAAGAUCUUGGCAGGCUACAGUCCAGGGAAUUGCAAAGACCUGGACCCAACUGAGCACAAGACCAGACGAAUUAGAAUAGUACCAACAGAACUGAUGAGGUGGUAGGAAAAGCCUAAGAUUCAUCAAGUUCAAAUUCCAACUACUCAGCACUGAGGGUGGGUGAUGCUGGACAAAUGAGGUUAUCUCAGUGAAGCUCAGCUUCCUCAACUGUAAAAUGGGUUAUCUUGAGGAUUACAUGAGAUGACACGUACACAACCUGGCACAUUAGAGAAGUUUCAUAAACAUUUAUUCAUCCUGUUCUUUGGAAGCCACCAAGUGUUACCAAAUUUAAAAUGUUAUCAUUUUCAUUUCUCUGGUCCAAUGCAUCACGAUGCCUCAUUUCCUUGAGAUUCACAUGGAAACACAAAUCUCAUUUCAAAAAAUGUCUGAUACAUGAUAGCUGUUAAGGGCAAAGAAGAGUUAAAAAUGCUACAGAAAUGUAAGACACACUACAUUUUUAUAAUUAUUAUUAAUACAGUACAUUAUUAUUAUACUUUGCCACUCCCAUUACUUUGCUUCAUUACAUUUUUCCUGAACCAUAGGGGAAAAAAAUAGCUUCUACAGAGCAAUUCAAUAUUUAAACCAGUCAGCUAGGAAAUACCCCUAUCCAUUUCCACCUCCAGUGAGUCAGUCUCCAAGGAGAGAGGUGACUUUUCAAUCUCCUGCGGCUGCUUAGUCACUUCAGUCAUGUCUGACUCUGUGCAACCCUAUGGACUGUAGCCUGCCAGGCUACUCUGUCCAUGGAUUCUUUAGUCAGGAGUACUGGAGCGGGUUGCUAUGCCCUCCUCCAGGGGAUCUCCCAACCCAGGGAUCGAACCAGCAUCUCUUAGGUCUCAAGAAUUGGCAGGUGGAUUCUUUACCAAUAGCACCACCUGGGAAUCCCUUUCAAUCUCCAGUUACAUCUAAUUGAUCAGUCAAUUAUCACAAAGUCUAAUCAAUUAGCUUUAAGUCUAAUUAGCAUAAAGCAUCAUUCUACCAUGCCUGCUUCCAAGACCUUCUUUCCACAAAUAUCCUGGCAGGGUUCAGAGAGGCCAUGUAAGAGAGGGGGCUCAGCACUCCUCCAUUAUAUCUGAAAGAUUUACACUAUAUCUACAUACAGCCCACUUGUCAUUAGCAAGUAUUCCCAAGCAGAGUCCUUUGGGCAAAAUUUAUUCAUCAAUGUAGUUACAAGCGUCAUCACACAUGUUCGAAUUGCCUCGUUACUUAGCAAUUCUACAAGAUCUACAUAUUGACCAUGUAAAUUAUCUACACAGCAGACUCGGGAACUGAUGAAAUUAAUCCUAUUAGAAAGCUCUUGCUCUGUAUAAAAAAGAAAAUAAAAUUUUUAAAAGAGGAGGCA